CCGAUAGUGACCGGCUACCCCGGGAUGUUCAUAACCCUUUGUUGUCCGACUCUGUUGCCUCCGGGGCGACCCUGCCUUCGGGCGGGGGCUCCGGGUGGACACUUCAAACUCUUGCGUAACUUUGCAGUCUGAGUAAACUUAAUUAAUAAAUUAAAACUUUUAACAACGGAUCUCUUGGUUCUGGCAUCGAUGAAGAACGCAGCGAAAUGCGAUAAGUAAUGUGAAUUGCAGAAUUCAGUGAAUCAUCGAAUCUUUGAACGCACAUUGCGCCCCCUGGUAUUCCGGGGGGCAUGCCUGUUCGAGCGUCAUUUCACCACUCAAGCCUCGCUUGGUAUUGGGCAACGCGGUCCGCCGCGUGCCUCAAAUCGACCGGCUGGGUCUUCUGUCCCCUAAGCGUUGUGGAAACUAUUCGCUAAAGGGUGUUCGGGAGGCUACGCCGUAAAACAACCCCAUUUCUAAGGUUGACCUCGGAUCAGGUAGGGAUACCCGCUGAACUUAAGCAUAUCAAUAAGCGGAGGAA
rnacentral:rRNA from 1 species